CUCCACCCUGUCCCCUGGACUCGCCUCUGCAGCCAUGCAGGGGUCUCACCACCUCAAAGGUGGAGUGCAGAUAGACGGAGGGUUGGAGAUCAUGCAUGACGUCCCUCAAAAGAAAAACAGGGUAAAAAAGGCACGAGGAGCCCUUUAAACCAGGAGUCCUCAAACUUCUUGAGCCUGUGGGCAUAUUUGGAAUUCUGGCGUGGCAUGAUGGGAGCAAGAACAACAUUUGUAACCAGCCACAAAACGACAGCCACGGCUUACCUUCAACCACGCAGUGAAAGAUCCUGUGGUAGUUGCUACUGCCAGAAUAAUGGUGUUUUUUUUAAAAAAAAAAAUCUGUACUGCCAAUCAAAUCUCGAGUAGCCUACCACAGUCCUUGCUGGGCGAAAGACCCAUCUGGCCUUGCACGCUUCCUGGAAACACUUGGGGCCAGAAAGGUGCUCGGCAGAGUUUUACAGCACCCCCAGGCACCAUGCUGGGGGUGCCUGCUUUAGAAUAGAUCCUUUGCACACACGCACACCCCUUUCCUGCUUUCCUUCCUCGGUCAGUUCAGUCUGGGAUGCAAAGGUAAAGGUUCACAGGGCGUUCUUGCACCAAGAGAUUUAGGGUGGGAAUCUUCAGAAUUUAAAGCGAUAUAUACUGAAGGUAACAGGCACCUUUGAGAGCCCAGAAACCGUAGUGACUUCUGUUUUUGCAGCAGAGAAGCAACACGGGUAUUUCUCGAUUCAGCCCCGUUCUACGACUGUCCCGAGUGAAUUCUGAGAAUCGGCAAACUUCAAAGUGCAGCGCCCUUACUGGUUUUGACUGGUUGACGGUCGCUCGCUUUUGGUGUGAUUCAGUUGCCGGUUUGCUCAUCUUGCCACUUUGCUUCGGGGCAGAGUCCCUGGAUAAUGUACUACAGGCUAGGCAGUCACCUGCGAAGGCAACAACCGUUUGCUCAACUGGGGAAAUACAAAGCAGCAGGAACUAGUAUAUGUGGCCAAGCCUAUUCAGACACAGCGACUUUUAAUAAGCCAGCUUUCCACUGGGCAGAGUUACGAGGCAGAAAGGAAGGGUGUUCCGGAUAGAAAGCACAAGACGAGGAAAGAUUCUGCUUUAUAUCUCUUGCACACAUGGCCAUUCAGUUAUUUUAGGACACAGCCAAAUGUCUCGCCACUUUUAUUUAUAAGACUUUGGUAGCCUUAAAAAUGAGGAGAAAAGCAUUAUGCAGUUCUCGUGUUGGAAUAUGCUGUACGUUCACAGUUUACUUUUAUAUUAGUGCGUAAACAUGGUAUUAUGUUCCAAAAUAUCACUAGUUUUCAGUCAGCUACGAAGCAGGUGUUGUACUAUAAAUUAUACAUUAAAUGAUUUGUGAUUCAA